GAUCAUGGCUCAGGAUGAACGCUAGCUACAGGCUUAACACAUGCAAGUCGAGGGGCAGCAUGGUCUUAGCUUGCUAAGGCCGAUGGCGACCGGCGCACGGGUGAGUAACGCGUAUCCAACCUGCCUUACACUCUUGGACAGCCUUCUGAAAGGGAGAUUAAUACAAGAUGUUAUCAUGAGUAAGCAUUUUCACAUGUAUUAAAGGUUUACCGGUGUAAGAGUGGGGAUGUCCG
rnacentral:rRNA from 1 species